CGUCUGUGAUGAUAUUUGUAAGGCUUGUUUCUCAAAACAUUCGCAGUGGCCGACCAAGAGUUUUCGCCUUCGCCAGGCUUGAGAACUAAUGCUGUUCUUAUCCUUCCUUGGAUGUCUGAGACG
rfam:Lupinus angustifolius cultivar Tanjil contig_632, whole genome shotgun sequence.